rnacentral:rRNA from 1 species
UACGUAGGGGGCAAGCGUUGUCCGGAUUUAUUGGGCGUAAAGCGCGUGUAGGCGGCUGGGUAGGUCCGCUGUGAAAACUCGAGGCUCAACCUCGAGAUGUCGGCGGAAACCACUUGGCUAGAGUCCGGAAGAGGAGAGUGGAAUUCCUGGUGUAGCGGUGAAAUGCGCAGAUAUCAGGAAGAACACCUAUGGCGAAGGCAGCUCUCUGGGACGGUACUGACGCUGAGACGCGAAAGCGUGGGGAGCGAACAGG